rnacentral:rRNA from 1 species
CCUACGGGCGGCAGCAGUGGGGAAUAUUGGACAAUGGGCGAAAGCCUGAUCCAGCCAUGCCGCGUGUGUGAAGAAGGCCUUCGGGUUGUAAAGCACUUUCAGUGGGGAAGAAAGCCUUGGGGCUAAUACCCUCGAGGAAGGACAUCACCCACAGAAGAAGCACCGGCUAACUCCGUGCCAGCAGCCGCGGUAAUACGGAGGGUGCGAGCGUUAAUCGGAAUUACUGGGCGUAAAGCGCGCGUAGGCGGUCUGAUAAGCCGGUUGUGAAAGCCCCGGGCUCAACCUGGGAACGGCAUCCGGAACUGUCAGGCUAGAGUGCAGGAGAGGAAGGUAGAAUUCCCGGUGUAGCGGUGAAAUGCGUAGAGAUCGGGAGGAAUACCAGUGGCGAAGGCGACCUUCUGGACUGACACUGACGCUGAGGUGCGAAAGCGUGGGUAGCAAACAGGAUUAGAUACCCCUGUAGUC